CGUAAACAACUGUCAUUCAAUUGCAUUUUGUCCCACCUCUGUACAUCAGUGAAGGCGACAGACAUGUGAUGUUUUCUAUCCAAUGACAUAACGGUAACUUAACCAAAAUAGGACGUACAUAAUAAAUAAAAGGGAUUACAUCGAUAUCUUGAUUUAAUUGCAGAUCCUAUUUCAACAUAGUUGUGUGCAGGAAUUUGUUCAGGAUUAAACAAUGUUCUUACGCAUUGCAUUGGUGAUUGCUUUGGUAGUAUCUCUUGCCGAUGGUUGCAGCGUACUCUAUAAUAGAAACGCAUGCACGUGUCGAUGUGGUGACUUCUACGACACCUGCAAAGGAGGCUGCGACAGAAUAAGUGAUUCUCUGUGGCGUUUGGUUUGCUCAUCGAACUGUUCUAAAUCCCUCUCGACGUGCUUGAGAUAUUGUCCUAAGACUUAAACAUGAAUUUACAAGUCCUGAAAAGGGUUGAAAUGAACUGGGCUAUAUAUAUUUCGAGACAAGGAACAUCAACUAUAAAGUAUCAUUUAUAAAUACGAAGUUUUUGAUAUGUAUAAUAAAAUGAAAGCUUUCUGCAAUUGUAUUAUAUUUUACUAAAAAUAAGUAAUGAAAUUAAAUACUGUGCAUAU